rnacentral:piRNA from 1 species
UGCCGCAUGAUGUUUAGUGGCUACCUGGA